rnacentral:rRNA from 1 species
AUGACCGACGUACCUUAUCGCUGCGAGAUACUCAACUUAGGAGGCGACACCGGCGGAUGGAGACCGUCGAUGUCGCCCCCAACUUGUUUCCGCUGCAACCGAAACUUCUCCGUCUCUCUCAACGGCGUCAUGUAUUUCUUGUCCUCGUGGCAUAACAAUGGCAGCUUGCUUUGCUUCGACACCGAGAACGAAGCGUGGAGGCGGGAGAUCGAAGGCCCACGAGGCCCGGUGCAUUGGACAACGGCCCGCCGCAUAACCGAGCUCAGUGGUGCUGUAUGCAAGGUUGUGCUGGAGAAGCCCAAGAACUAUUACGGACCAGCGAGCUAUCUCGGACGUGCCAACAUCUGGCUCUUAACCAAUUCAGGCAAUUUCUCAAAAAAAAAAACCCAAUUCAGGCAAAGAGACAUGGAUCAAGGCGUACACGAUCCCUGUUUCCCCAUACACCUAUGA